GAGAAAGGAGGCCUGGGAGUACUGUAACUUGAUGCAUCACUGCUAUGGAUUUCUCUCCUCUUAACAAGUAGCUUCCAGCUUCCCCAACCAGGAUCAGGACCCAAUUGUGCUAGGCAUGUACAAAUAUAGUCCCUGUUCCAGAGAGCUUAUACUCCAAAUAACUAUAAAAGUGAAAGUGCGGAAUACAUUAAGAGGGAGACCAUGGGCCAUGAAGACUCUGAAUAUGAGAAUGGAAGUUUGAGAGGAA